AAAUUCUCAGUAAAAAAUAUUAGMUCAAAAAUGAAAGUUGUAUCUAGGAAAUCACUUAAGAGUGGAAAAUAGCGUGCCAGCAGCCGCGGUUAUACGUAUGCU
rnacentral:rRNA from 1 species